CCUACGGGCGGCAGCAGUGGGGAAUAUUGGACAAUGGGGGCAACCCUGAUCCAGCCAUGCCGCGUGUGUGAAGAAGGCCCUCGGGUUGUAAAGCACUUUCAGUGAGGAAGAACGCCUGGUGGUUAAUACCCAUCAGGAAAGACAUCACUCACAGAAGAAGCACCGGCUAACUCCGUGCCAGCAGCCGCGGUAAUACGGAGGGUGCGAGCGUUAAUCGGAAUUACUGGGCGUAAAGCGCGCGUAGGUGGCUUGAUAAGCCGGUUGUGAAAGCCCCGGGCUCAACCUGGGAACGGCAUCCGGAACUGUCAAGCUAGAGUGCAGGAGAGGAAGGUAGAAUUCCCGGUGUAGCGGUGAAAUGCGUAGAGAUCGGGAGGAAUACCAGUGGCGAAGGCGGCCUUCUGGACUGACACUGACACUGAGGUGCGAAAGCGUGGGUAGCAAACAGGAUUAGUACCCUGGUAGUC
rnacentral:rRNA from 1 species